UUUGUCAGCGAUUUUACAAUCAUCCCUGACAUUGUGCUCGACACAAUAUGUUUUGUUGUAAAAUUAGCAAAAUCAGACUCAAGGCGAAGCAACAACAACUUUUAAAAUUGAAAUUUAUUUGCUGUUGCUAUUGAACAAGGUUGGUGGCCUGCAUGGUUGUUCCCAUUUAUGUGUUCUGCACAUAAUAUGAAAGUCACUCUUCAACACUGCAUUAGAUGGAAAUAAAGUUUUAAUUUCUUUUUAAUUUGCAAGAAUUAAAAAAGAAAAGAUUGAAAAAUAGUUUAAAAAUGACACCUCCACAAACAUAUGAGCUUACAGGUGUGUCUUUGACAGUGGUGCUAUUUGCAGCAGCAGUGUUUAUGUGGCUUUGUGUUAAGAUGGUUCUUAGUGUAGCACAGUGGGCAUUAAAGAAGCAUGAAGCUAGUUCUUCAGACAACACUUCAAAUGACAAUCAAGAAGCAUCAGAAGAGACAGACCAGGCCACAGAAGAAGACAACACUGUUGAACCACCAGAUUUGGACAUAAAGAAGGGAAACUGACCUGAAACUGAGGAGGACAUCACAUAUCACUAGCAUGCAAACUAAUUUUUUACCCCAAUAGUUCAAUCCCAUAUAUCACUUGUCCUAUUUUACAAUAAUUUGAGGUUUGAUAGAAAAUGUGUUUAUUUUACUAUUUGCAAUACAUCUAUUAUAUAAUUUCUUGAUUAAAUUUAAGAUCAUAGGUAAAUACAAUAUAGAGUGAAAAAAAAACUGGCAGCAUUUAUGUAUUGGUGUUUUAUGUACAACUUUAUACAUGUGCUUUGCUUUUGGUAUGCUUGAGUAUACAUAUAUGCAAUUUCUGUAAUACAGCUUGUGUAUAUUUUGUAUGUAUACCCUUUUAUACCUCCGACAAACGAAGUUUGAAGGGGUAUAUUGGAGUCACCCUUUGGUGGGUCUGUCGGUCGGUCCGUUGCAAUUUAUCUUGUCCGGAGCAUAACUUAAAAACUACUGGAUGGAAUUGGAUUAAACUUCAUACAAUGGUAGAGCAUAAUGAGAGGAAGUGCCGUGUACAAUAACCAUAACUCUAUUCUUGCCUAUUACUGAGUUAUUGCCCUUUGUUACUUUUUUUUGUCCGGAGUAUAACUUGAAAAGUACUGGAUGGAAUUGAUUGGACGUUCAUACAAUGGUAAAGCACAAUGAGAGGAAGUGCAGUGUUCAAGAACCAUAACUCUACUUUAGAUAAUCACUGAGUUAUUGCCCUUUAUUAUUUUUUUUGCUGUCAUUUUUUUCCAGACAUUAAUUUGCAAACUGCUAGAUGGAAUUUAUUAAAACUUAAUACAAUGGUAAAGCACAAUGAGAGGAAGUGCAGUGCACAAGAACCAUAACUCUAUUUCAGCUAAUUACAGAGUAACUGCCCUUUGUUACUUUUUUCUUGUCCGAAGCAUAACUUGAAAACUAUCAGAUGGAAUUUAAUAGAACUUCAUACAGUGAUAGAUCAUUAUGAGAGGGAGUGCAGUGUACAGGAACCGCAAUUCUAUUGAAGCUAAUUACAGAGUAACUGCCCUUUGUUACUUUUUCUUGUCCGGAGCAUAACUUGAAAACUAUUGGAUGGAAUUAAAUAAUACUUCAUACAGUGAUAGAUCAUAAUGAGAGAAAGUGCAGUGUAUAGGAACUGCAAUUCUAUUUCAGCCAAUUACAGAGUUACUGCCCUUUGUUACUUUAUCUUGUCCGGAGCAUAACUUGAAAACUAUUGGAUGGAAUUUAAUAAUACUUCAUACAGUGAUAGAUCAUAAUGAGAGGAGGUGCAGUGUACAGGAACUGCAAUUCUAUUUCAGCCAAUUACAUAGUUACUGCCCUUUGUUACUUUUUCUUGUCCGGAGCAUAUCUUGAAAAGUAUUGGAUGGAAUUUAAUAAAACUUCAUACAGUGAUAGAUCGUAAUGAGAGGAAGUGCAUUGUACAGGAACCGCAAUUCUGUUUCAGCCAAUCACAGAGUUAUUGCCCUUUGUUACGUAUUUCUUGUCCGGAGCAUAGCUUGAAAACUACCGGAUGGAAUGUAAUAAAACUGUAUACCAUGGUACAGCACAAUGAGAAGGAGUUCAUUGUACAUGAAUCAUUACACUAUUUUAGCAAAUAACAGAGUAAUUCCCCUUUUCUGUGUUUUUUUGUCAAACUUUUGUCCGCACAGUAACUUGAAAACUACCAGAUGGAAUUUCAUAAAACUUCAUACAAUGAUAAAUCAUAAUGAGAGGCGGCGUUCGGGGGUAUUAAUCACAUUCAGUGAUAGCUCUAGUUUAAUGACACGGGAUGUGAUUGUAAACAAGCAUACCAAAUGCAGGCAUUGUGUUUAUAAAUGGAAGCAUUAUCAGUGUGUGUAUACCACGUGAUAAAUUGCGUCAUAAAUGCCACGUCGGAAGGCAAUAUUUUGAUUGGAAAAAUACUUUAAACAAAGAUAACUUCUCUAUUUCUUCACCAUUUUAAAUGAAACAUAGCGCAGUCUACGCCGUUAACAGAGCCCUGCCUUUGGUCUUUUACCAGAGUUUGAUUGAGAGUUUAGUUUCUUUUAACACUUCGACAAACCUUUUCUCAAUACGGCCGUCUGACGUAGCACUGUCAAAACAUGAUUUUGGAAACAGGUUUGUCGAAGUGUUUGAUGAAACUAAUAACUUUACCAAAUUUCGGUCAUAAAACAAAAGCAGGGCUCUCUAAGAGACAGACUGCCCUUUGUUUCAUUUAAAAUGGUGUUGUGCAAGAAAAGUUAUCUAAAAUUUAAGUCUUCAUUUAAAGCAAAAUGUUGCCUUCCGACAUAGCAUAUAUAUACAGUAUGACGUUAUUUAUCACGUGGUAUACACACACUGAUCAUUAUGUGAAUGCAAUUUACUGGUACUUGUUUUUGCUAAGUUUCUUGACAUAUUGAAUAAAUAUACUUAUACAUUCACAUGUUUGGGAGCCCUUUACAGUUCCUAGACUCUAAUUGUGUAAUGUAAAUUAAGGAUAUAAGACUAGUAGUGCUUAAUCAUUGCACAUUUACAUGUACUUUAUAAUGUAGGAAUGCUUUAGCCUACAUGUAACAUCACAAAACGUAUGCUAUUUAAAGAUUCAUGAUACCAUACACAAAAUGUGUUUACCAUACACAAAAUGUAUACUGGUAAGGGACUUUUCGAUAUGAAAUAGAUGUUUGUCUUAAAUAACUUGAGAAAUACUGUGUAUUUGAAAUUUCACAGAGGGAAAGUUAGUCCAAUGGUCUAAAAAUAAGAAUGAGAUAAGAUUUAAAAUGUACCCUUAUUUUAAGAAUAGAUUUACUUGCCAAAUAUACAAAUGUACAUGUAUUUGCACACUUUUGAAUAUGGUAUUCAUUUUUUAAACAAUGUGAACAUUGUGUAUGAAAUAUUUUGGGAUGAAUUUUUUUCCAAGUGGUUCAGUGGUAACGGGCGACACAGUGUUCCCAGAUCAGUACAAACCUGCAUGUGUCUGUAUGUUAGCAUUGUUGCAUUUCUAUUUAAUUAAAUGGUAAGGUUUGCUUAUAAGUAUGAACAUGUUUUAUCUAUUCAUACAGUAACUGGUGCAAUGUGUUCAAGCAUGUGUUUUUUUUUUAUUUUCAUCAUCAUUAUAAAGUCAUAUUUAUCAUAUGCCGGAGAUAUACAAACAUGUAUUCACUUA